GCCAAGAAAAGCCACUAAGUUUAUUAUAUGUUGCCCGUACCGUAAACCGACACAGGUGGGUGGGAUGAGUAUUCUAAGGCGCGUGGAAGAACCCUGGUUAAGGAACUCUGCAAACUAGCACCGUAUCUUCGGUAUAAGGUGUGCCUACUUUUGUAUAUGAACUUGCUUCAAAAAGCGAAAGAGGUUGCAACAAAGAGUCCCUCCCGACUGUUUACCAAAAACACAGCACUUUGCUAACACGUAAGUGGAUGUAUAAGGUGUGACGCCUGCCCGGUGCUCGAAGGUUAACUGAUGAUGUCAGCGCCUGUCUCUUAUACAC
rnacentral:rRNA from 1 species